UUGCUACUCCCUCUGUUCCGAAUUACUUGUCUUGGAUUUGUCUAGAUACGGAUGUAUCUCGUGCUAGACAAGUCCAAGACAAGUAAUUCGGAACGGAGGGAGUAUAUG
rfam:Triticum aestivum genome assembly, contig: Triticum_aestivum_CS42_TGACv1_scaffold_499376_6BL